rnacentral:rRNA from 1 species
GAUGAACGCUAGCUACAGGCUUAACACAUGCAAGUCGAGGGGUAGCAGGGUAGCAAUACCGCUGACGACCGGCGCACGGGUGAGUAACACGUAUCCAACCUUCCCAUAACUCGGGGAUAGCCUUUCGAAAGAAAGAUUAAUACCCGAUAGUACUUAAGAAAGGCAUCUUUUUAAGUUAAAGAUUUAUUGGUUAUGGAUGGGGAUGCGUUCCAUUAGAUAGUUGGUGAGGUAACGGCUCACCAAGUCUUCGAUGGAUAGGGGUUCUGAGAGGAAGGUCCCCCACAUUGGUACUGAGACACGGACCAAACUCCUACGGGAGGCAGCAGUGAGGAAUAUUGGUCAAUGGGCGAGAGCCUGAACCAGCCAAGUAGCGUGAAGGAUGAAGGUCCUAUGGAUUGUAAACUUCUUUUAUAGUAGAAUAAAGUGAUCCACGUGUGGAUUUUUGUAUGUAUACUAUGAAUAAGGAUCGGCUAACUCCGUG